AGAGUUUGAUCCUGGCUCAGAUUGAACGCUGGCGGCAUACCUAACACAUGCAAGUCGCACGCGAAAGGGGGCAACCCCGAGUAGAGUGGCGGACGGGUGCGUAAUACGCAGGAAUCUACCCACGAGUGAGGGACAACCCGGGGAAACCCGGGCUAAUACCGCAUGAGACCUACGGGUGAAAGCGGGGGAUCGCAAGACCUCGCGCUGGUGGAUGAGCCUGCGUCCGAUUAGCUAGUUGGUAGGGUAAAAGCCUACCAAGGCAACGAUCGGUAGCUGGUCCGAGAGGACGACCAGCCACACUGGGACUGAGACACGGCCCAGACUCCUACGGGAGGCAGCAGUGGGGAAUAUUGGACAAUGGGGGCAACCCUGAUCCAGCAAUGCCGCGUGUGUGAAGAAGGCCUUCGGGUUGUAAAGCACUUUCGAUGGGGACAAACGUGUCGGGCUUAAUACGUCCGGCCUUGAUGGUACCCAGAGAAGAAGCACCGGCUAACUCUGUGCCAGCAGCCGCGGUAAUACAGAGGGUGCAAGCGUUAAUCGGAAUUACUGGGCGUAAAGCGUGCGUAGGUGGUUGGAUAAGUCAGGUGUGAAAUCCCCGAGCUCAACUUGGGAAUUGCGCUUGAUACUGUCCGGCUAGAGUGUGGUAGAGGGUAGUGGAAUUCCGCAUGUAGCGGUGAAAUGCGUAGAUAUGCGGAGGAACAUCAGUGGCGAAGGCGGCUACCUGGACCAACACUGACACUGAGGCACGAAAGCGUGGGUAGCAAACAGGAUUAGAUACCCUGGUAGUCC
rnacentral:rRNA from 1 species